rnacentral:rRNA from 1 species
GACGAACGCUGGCGGCGUGCUUAACACAUGCAAGUCGAACGGUAAGGCCCUUCGGGGUACACGAGUGGCGAACGGGUGAGUAACACGUGGGUGAUCUGCCCUGCACUUCGGGAUAAGCCUGGGAAACUGGGUCUAAUACCGGAUAGGACCACUGCCUGCAUGGGUGGUGGUGGAAAGCUUUUGCGGUGUGGGAUGGGCCCGCGGCCUAUCAGCUUGUUGGUGGGGUGAUGGCCUACCAAGGCGACGACGGGUAGCCGGCCUGAGAGGGUGACCGGCCACACUGGGACUGAGAUACGGCCCAGACUCCUACGGGAGGCAGCAGAGGGGAAUAUUGCACAAUGGGCGCAAGCCUGAUGCAGCGACGCCGCGUGAGGGAUGACGGCCUUCGGGUUGUAAACCUCUUUCAGCACCGACGAAGCGCAAGUGACGGUAGGUGCAGAAGAAGGACCGGCCAACUCCGUGCCAGCCGCCGCAGUAA